CUGUGCGAUGGUGAAUAGUGAUUCGUUUCGUGUUGGCAAGACGCUUGGCAGUUGUGAUAUAACAAGUGAAUUGAUCCUUUCAUUAUGUUGCAUCUGAACCGUAACCAACUUAAUCUUUACAUGCACAAGUCCCAGAGAGAAUGGUGAUCGUUAGGUGAAAAGUCAUCCUGACUGCCGGACAUUUUGCUAUAUCAAAUAGAUAAACUUCGGUCUACUAGGUCUAUGACUCUAUGUGUAGGCGUACAUGAUAGUCUAAUUUGCUGGCACGAGUUAGCAGGCAUUAAGUUUUUUUUUUUUUUUUUUUUAUGACUACUGGUUCACACCAGUCCUCGUAUGUACGGUAAGCUAUUCGACAUUUUAGUUGUGGCCGAAAGAACACAGCCGUUGAAUUCUUGUUGACUUUAUCCCGCCAAAUCUUUAGGAUUUAUAAUUCCACUUGGUGCAUCACGGUGAUCAAUCAAUCUUCUGAUCUCAGUUUGUACUGAAUUUGCAUUGUAAACCUCUGAACGAACGCACAGGUUCAAACUAAUUUCAAGCCAACGAAGUGAAUGUAGUUGCAUACUCUGUGCUCGAAAAGUCCUGGGCUUUGUAAGUGCAGCUCAAGAUGACGUCUGCCAAAAUCGUCGUCCUGGUCAUCUCACUGAUUCUCUUCGAACGCGGAGCUGAGUCGGUAGAUGAAGGUGCUCCAGAACGCCCUCUCCAGGAAGAACCUUGCUCCCGCACAGGGGGAAUAUGUGCCUUUGAGGAGUUCUGUCCCACCAAGUUUGAGGAUACCUGAAAAGGGUCUGUGUCCCAAUCAACAGUAUAAAGGCGUGGAGUGCUGCAGGACGGUUCCUCUCAACUCACGCAGCUGCCGAGACAGAGGCGGCGAAUGUUUCGUAGCCGAAAGCUGUCGAAAGGUACCAGGUCCCUUUGCAACUUGCCCAAAGGGAGAAGUUUGUUGUCUUCUCGAAUGAACUCCGGGUCUGGUUAGUAAGUCUUGUCGACUAAUAAUUCUUCGAGACUUCUGGGAUGAAGCCCUGCUAACUUUGUCUCUGAAGGCGUCGGGGUUUGAGACCUGGUGGAGUUAUUCUCAAAGUUCCAGUUGGCUUCAUCACCUGCAGAAACUGUAUGGGAACUGCGUUGACUACUUCUUUGGAACAUAAUUGGUAGAGUUAAUAUUAUUAUUUUUCAGAAGAUGAACCCUAUUCAUACGGAACAAGGCCCGCCACAGGGGCCACCUGACUUGGAAUUCAAGCUCCCACAGACUAUAUGGUGCUCACUCGAAAGAAUGAAUAGAAGGUAACAGGAAACAUAGGAAGCGAUCAGUUAUUCGAUCAUAAAACAUAAACUAAUAAGUAAAUAAAUAGAUAAAAAAUAGCUAUUGAUAGGCCUAUAUGGUACACGUGAAUUCCAUUUAUUUGAUUAAUAUAAUAACUUUCCGGUAGCUUGUUGCGUUAGUCAAUUUAGUUAUGAAUAGGCCUAGUACAUGACACGUGUGAUUUCUGACUGUUUUGAUAUUUUCAACAGCUAAUGAUAUUGGGUUGGAGGAUUUAGUUACGAAUAGGCCUAUAUGAUAGACGUGAUUUCUUUUUAGAUAUAAGUGUUGUGUAGUACACUUUACAACAAUUUUGAGUUUAAUAAACGUUUCCAACCAUUUAAA